ACCUCCAGCCUCUGUUCCACCAGCCACAACUACAGCUUUGAUUGGAGAAGAGACUGAUUUCAGCCACUUUCUCCUGGUAUAAAAGCCUGCCGUUGGUGGAAAAGGAAAAGGUGGUCCAGUUAGACAAGAUGCCACCGGCUUCUGAAACCAGACAUCUUUGAAAACCCACCCAUCUACCUGCAGGAAAAGAGACAGGGUUUCACUAUGUUGGCCAGGAUGUUCAACAACUUCUGCCUUCAAGCGAUCUUCCCUCCUGGGCCUCCCCAAGUGCUGAGUUUACAAGCAUCAGCCACCACACCCAGCCUAUGACAUUUUCUUCAUUAUGGCUGGUACUGCCUCAUGAAAAGGGGGUUCCUCAUGCUGGAUCUGAACAACCCAGCACAGGCAAGUCUGGGGAGCAAGGCAGGAGCCUGCAUGUGGACUCAAAGGACCGGCACCCGAAACAAAGCAGUGGCUGGCACAGGUGGACAAACCAGGCAAGAAAAGCAACUGUCCUUCGGAGCAGAGUCCACGUGAUGGGAAGAAACAGACACAGUCUCACUCUGUUGCCCAGGCUGAAGUCAACGGCAUGAUCUCAGCUCACUGCAACCUCCACCUCCUGGGUUCAAGCAAUUCUCGUGCCUCAGCCUCCCAAGUAGCUUGGAUUACAGGAGAAAGAACCUCUCUUCUACUGAUCUUGAACUUGAAGGCUGGUCCCUCUCUUCUGGGGGCCAUUGUGAAGAGAGGCUGCCUAAGCCUGAAGUCAACUUAAAGGAAGGUGAAACAGAGAAAAACCACACAUUCAGGCAUUUGAUGUCCUAAAGCAGAUCUACUCUGGGGAUUUUUAGAUUUGAAAACCAAAUAUUCUCCUUCCUUAGCUUAAAGCAAGUUUGAAGCUGAGAUGGA
ensembl:lncRNA LINC01531 long intergenic non-protein coding RNA 1531